AAUGAACGCUGGCGGCGUGGUUAAGACAUGCAAGUCGAACGGUUUUUUUGGUGUAGCAAUAUAUUGAAAAGGCAGUGGCGAACGGGUGCGUAACACGUGAACAAUCUACCUUUUAGUGGGGAAUAGCUCGUCGAAAGGCGAAUUAAUACCGCAUAUGAUUGAUGCUCUCCUGAGUGUCAUAUCUAAGUCGGGGACCGCAAGGCCCGACGCUAGAAGAGGAGUUCGCGGCCUAUCAGCUAGUUGGUGAGGUAACGGCCCACCAAGGCUAAGACGGGUAGCCGGUCUGAGAGGAUGAUCGGCCACACUGGAACUGAGACACGGUCCAGACGCCUACGGGUGGCAGCAGUUUCGAAUCAUUCACAAUGGGCGAAAGCCUGAUGGUGCGACGCCGCGUGAGGGAUGAAGGUCUUCGGAUUGUAAACCUCUGUCACUGGGGAAGAAACGCUGAAUCCUAAUACGAUUCAGCCUGACUUAACCCGGAGAGGAAGCAGUGGCUAACUACGUGCCAGCCGCCGCCGUAA
rnacentral:rRNA from 1 species